AUGACCACGACCACAGCGGCACAUAUACAAAAAUUGAAUUGAUUCUGAGAAGAUUAGCAUGGCCCCUGCGAAAGGAUGACACGCAAAUCCCAGCUUUGGCCAGGGUAGAU
ensembl:snRNA U6 U6 spliceosomal RNA